rnacentral:rRNA from 1 species
GACAGAGGCCUCAAGCGUUAGGCGGAAUCACUGGGCUUAAAGCGUGUGUAGGCGGAUCGUUAAGUGUCUUGUGAAAUCCCACGGCUCACCCGUGGAACGGCUGGGCAUACUGGCGAUCUUGGGCCAACUAGGGGCAACUGGAACAAGCGGUGGAGCGGUGAAAUGCGUAGAUAUCGCUUGGAACGCCGAAGGUGAAAACAGGUUGCUGGGGUUGUGCCGACGCUGAGGCACGAAGGUCAGGGGAGCAAACGGG